AUUGAACGCUGGCGGCAUGCUUUACACAUGCAAGUCGAACGGCAGCGCGGGCUUCGGCCUGGCGGCGAGCGGCGAACGGGUGAGUAAUACAUCGGAACGUGCCCAGUAGUGGGGGAUAGCUCGGCGAAAGCCGGAUUAAUACCGCAUACGACCUGAGGGUGAAAGCGGGGGAUCUUCGGACCUCGCGCUAUUGGAGCGGCCGAUGGCAGAUUAGCUAGUUGGUGGAGUAAAGGCCUACCAAGGCGACGAUCUGUAGCUGGUCUGAGAGGACGACCAGCCACACUGGGACUGAGACACGGCCCAGACUCCUACGGGAGGCAGCAGUGGGGAAUUUUGGACAAUGGGCGAAAGCCUGAUCCAGCAAUGCCGCGUGUGUGAUGAAGGCCUUCGGGUUGUAAAGCACUUUUGGCGGGAACGAAAAGGACUGUGCCAAUACCACGGUUCGAUGACGGUACCCGCAGAAUAAGCACCGGCUAACUACGUG
rnacentral:rRNA from 1 species